GGGGAUCGAACUCGGGUCCUUGCGCUUGCGCAGCAGGCAGCAAAACCACUGAGCUAAAUCCCCGGUCUUCUUGUCUCUAUUUUUGACCUUGUUUUGAUCAUAUGCUAAUUAUUUUAUAAGUGAUGUCCCCUUCUUUUUUUUUUUUUGAGACAGGUUCUUGCUUUGUAGUUCAGGCUGCCUUUGAACUGAACACAAGGCGAUUCUCCUGUCUCAGCCUCCCAAGUGCUGGGAUUACAGGUGCACACCGCCACGUCCAGCUCUUCUUAAUGAAGAUUGGCCUGAGACUGACAGGAAAUUGAAAGACAACUGGUUCCUCCCCACAGGCAGCUUGAGAGGCACAGGCUAAGGGCAGAAGUUGGACAAGCCCAGGCCCCGGAAGGCCAGUCAGGAACCACAAACACCCGACUCAUCGCUGAGUCAUUUUCCUGAGAUGCACAGAGGAGCUGAGAGAGUUGAUCCACAAAGGCCACAAACCCCUAGAGCAUCGGAGAGCAAAUUUCAGUCUGCUGUGCUUUCAUUGCCUUCUCCAAUGAGCUGUGCAGGUGGCCUUGGGGGCUCGCCUGUGAUGUCCCUGGGGACAGGGAGCUCUGUUACUUCACCCCCCGCCCCAGGCACAUGCUUUGUCACCUCAAUGCACAGUCAUUCUUCGUCAAGAAUGUGGUAUGAAGGAAUCUCAGGACAACAUUGCAGCUGGUAUUGGCCAAGAGGAGUCUGAUGCAAGUUCAAGCUUAAGAGAUCGCUUGCCCUGUGUGCCUUUUGAAUUUCCAGGAGUCCCACUUAAAUUCUUCAGAACUGUCACCUUGCAGAGGAGUUUCGGCCCUCACUGCGGGGCGCAGGCGCCGUUCGUGGAUCAGUGCCAAGGUGUCAGGGGGUUUCGUCGCAGCCACAGGGGAAGUGACUGAGACACUCAGGUUGUGAAAUGUCCAGCGGAUGGCGAGAGGACUUUCUCCCGUGCUUCCACGUUUCCUCGAGGAAUGCAGACCACUGUUGAGAACAGGUGUUCAAGGUAAACGUAAACGGGAUAAACAUUGCCAAGUGAAUUCCUCACGGCUUCUAAAAGCUUUUUCAGUAACCUGAAAUCCUAAGUUAUGUUAUAUGCUAAAUUGAGUAAUAGUCAUUAGAUGUCUAGAUCAUUUCUAAGUAAGUUGCAACAUUAAGACUUUGGCUAUUAAGCCUAAGUUUAAAGACUGCACUUUGGUAAUUCUGCUUGUAUAUUGUGCAGAGGAAGCAAGGCUAAAUAGGUCGAGGCCCAUUUCCACACUUCCGAGCUACGCUGUGAGCCAAGACGGCGGCUCUUGCCUGUGGUUGUUGGAGGCUGAAGCGGAAGGAUGGCCUGAGCCCAGGAGGAGUCCAGGAAGGAGAAAACACUUUGCAUCAUGAGAAAGCAUGCAUUUCCCACCCUCUUUGCGGUAUCUCAGAUUGAACCGAGGGCCUUCACUGAACCACACCCUCAGCUCUCUUUAACAUCGAGGCAGUGUCUUGCUAAGUUGCCAAGGCAAGGCUCAAACUUUGUUUGGGGGGGGUGGGCACCAGAAUGGAACUCAGGACCUUGCACUUUCCAGGCAGGUGGCAGAACCACUGAGCUAAAUCCCUAGCCCCUAGGGCUCAAACUUUUAAUCCUCCUGCUUCAGCCUCCCAAGUGCUGGGAUCACAGGUGUGCGCCAUUGUGCCUAGCAGAAAAGCACAUGUCCCUAAGAAUUACUAGUUACCUAAAGGGCCUAGGGAUUGAUAACCAGAACUGCAAAGAGCAAGGGAAGCAACUCUGUAUGUGAGGAACAAGAGGCGUCUUUUAUACAGGAAGUUACAGAGUGUGAGAAGGUUUUGGGGCCAAAAGAAAGUAAAGUUUUUGUCCUUAAAGUGACUAUGAUUCCAAAGUAGGAAAGAGAGGUAGAAUACAGAACUGAGAGUUUGGAUGAACUGUGAAAGAUUUGAAGAAGUUGUAAAAGGGGCUUGGAAGGAAUGAAUAAAAAAUGUCAGGCAAACUAAAGAGGAUUCCCCCGAAUGCAGGGGUGGCAGGGAGCCUACACCUGAGUCCCCAGAAGGUGGCUUGAAGGGAAGUAUGGAACAGAGUGGGUCUCACUGCAGGUUCCAGGGGCACUGCUCUGUGACGAUCUAUGGGAAGCAGCAACCAGGCUGGUGACAAACGGGACUUUAACUGGGGACACCACACCGGAAGUGCCCAUGGUCCCCAAUUAAAUGAUGCUCUUGGGUGCCCCAUAGUCCAAGUACCUGGCAUGGACUCAAUGAGACCACAGCCGUCUGCCACGGGGGCUGUACAUGGGCAAUGCUGCAGGACAUUUGUCAGAGUCUCAUUUCCCUUUGCAACUGUGACCUAGAAGUAAUAUUUGGCUAUGACCACACAAUCUGGGAAAUUUGAAUUUCUCACAAGACUGGCCUUGUGUCUCUGGCUCCAUGACUAACAGUGUUUGGGACACGGGAAAGGAUGAUUUUUUGGGGAUGAAAUUCGUCAUUAUGUUGCUUUAUUUCCUGACUUCUAUAAUGAGGUUAACUUUAGUUUCCAGAGCUGGAUGGAACAUAAUACCAAGAGAGCAGAACAGCUAAAACUAUUAGCAAUGGAUAAGGGUCAGAAUGAUUUGCAUAUUGAAAACCGAUUUUUCAUAGAAUUAGGGCUAACAUCUCUUCGUGAGGUUACAGCCAUGGAGUCAAACUGGCCUGAAGAGAAGCGAGAACGGGGAGAUGUUGCUGAGUUACCCUGAAUACUCUAAACACCAAGGAAGUAUUUCAUGAUGUGCAGGCGACUGCUCGGUCGCGGUGGCUGCAGAAUUCUCUCCUGCUGCAUGCAGCCUGCAAAUGUCACAUGGCUCACAGAACAUGGAGGACUAGGAGCAUCAGGACUGGGCCAGGAUGGCCAGGGCCCAGGGCGCCUCCUGAGCGGGGAAGGACCUGUGCCUGUGCUGGGCCUCGGCCUGCAGUCCUGGAGCAGCUGGGCCCUCAUCCCUGUGCCCAGGGCGGUGCUGGCCGCAGUGGAGCCGCAGGCUGAGUUCCCUGCAGAGGCCCCUGGACCUGCAGGCCCGGCAGGCUGCUGGAUUGAGCAAGGUCUGGGUUUCAGGAGCCGGUUCUGUGGGGCUCUCGCGGUGCCUUUGACAGUUGUUUACUUUCAGUCUGCGCUGCUGUUGGGUUGAACGCUCGGAAUGGAUGGUGAAGGUCAGAAGGUCCUGAUCUCCCACCAACCCGAGAGCUGAGCCUCCUGUUACGAAGCCGUGGGUGGGGCCGCUGCCCGUCUGUCCUCCCAGUGCUCUGGGCGGCUGAGGUAGGAGGUCAAAAGUUUAGCAGUUUAGCCACUUUAGCAAGACCCUGUCCCUGCAACAGGAAAAGAACUGGGGAUGCAGCUCCAUGCAGAGGCUCUGGGUUGGGUCACCAGUACUGGGGAUGAUGAUGAUGAUGACAGAGAUAAAAGGGCACAUUUCAGAGAAAGGUAUUAUUCUCCCUCUUUGCAUCUUAAGUUCUCAUCCUUGAUCUUAGGAGGGAAACAUUCUAAACAGCCUGGUGCGAAUUUUCCUAGAUGUUAGUAAAUGUAAGUAUGUAC
rnacentral:lncRNA from 1 species